UAGAACAGGGAUGCUCAACCUGCAGCCCUCCAGCUGUUGUAAAACUACAACUCCCAUCAUGCUCGGCUGUAGGCGGAUAGCUGUAGGCUUUCCGGGCAAGCUGGGAGUUGUAGUUUUGCAACAGCUGGAGGGCUGCAGGUUGAGCAUCCCUGUUCUAGACCUGUACUCAUCUGCUG